UGGCGUUCUCUCGGAUUCCGAGUUUCAUCAGUUUUAGCGGAUUUUUCUCCCCAGCUUCAUGGAGACAGAGAAGGAAAAGACUGGGGAGCACCCCAGGAAGGACAGGAAGAGGAGGCAGGUUCCCAACCAGCUGGUCCGGGCGACAGAGCCGAGGAGAGCCUGUCCGGCUCUGGAGGACACGCAGCCCCAGGCCAAGAAAGCUCGCUUAUCUGCCAAUUGUGAGGUAACCCCUGGCCAACUGUGUGAAUUGCUGAAGUAUGCAGUUCUGGGCAAAUCCAUUGUGUCUAGACCCAGUUGGUGCCAAAUUUUUCAACAAAACCACCUGAACAAUGUGGUGGUUUUUAUUCUUCAAGGGAUAAGUCAGUUGCAUUUCUACAUGUUCUAUUUGGAGUUCAAAUUUCUGCGGAAGACAUUCAGACAUAAAUUCUACUUGGGUCCUCCAUCAUCUAAUUUUCUAGCUGAUAUCAUUGGUCUGCAAAAGAAAACAACUGGAGAUCUGUCCAAGACCAGUAAAGGUAAGACUGUGACUGGUUUGAUCCUUUGCCCAUUGACUUUAUAGACAUGACUGGUUGAUGCUUUGCCCAUUUUUUUUUUCACUUUCAAAAAUUUAUUUGAAAAAGUAAAAGUGAAGAGUGAGGGAGAGAAAGCAGGGUGGGCUAUUGUGAGGAAACUACCAUAGCAAGCUCUUCUUGGUGUCUGUGUUCUUUUAUACUGUGCAAAUUUCAAGGAAACCCAUGAGAACUUCUGUGUAUGGAUCCUGAGAGGGAGUGAUGGAAUCCCAUGCCUCAGAUUAUUGUCAGGUUAGGCCGUCUCAUUGAAAACCUGCUCCAAUUCUCACGAGAAGUCCACUGCCCAUUGAUUUUUGUAGAUAAGGUCAUUAUCAGGUAUAUGAGUCAAGUUUAUUUAUUGUAAGCAACAAAAUUCAGUUCUGACUAACAUAAGCAGAAAAGCAAUUUUUUAAAAGGAAGAAUUAAUUGGCAGGUUCCCAGAAUAGUUAGCAGGAACCAUAGGCAGAGUUCAUGUCUCAGAAACCAUGUGGUAGCUAGGUGUAGUGUUGUACAUCUAUAAUUUCAGCAUUUUUUGCAAUCCAGUCUUUUGUCUCAGCAGCAUCUUUUAAUUUCCCACUUUUCCAUUAUUCCCCUCUCCUUCCAAUAGAUGCCUGUAUUUGACCUGUAGCUGUGUUUGGUUUGAUGUGUACUAUGUUUGUCUUUUUAUUUUACCUUUGAGUAAUAACAGUAUCUUUGAGUAAAUAAAAUAAUUAUUUUAGGUUCAAGUGAAGGUCUUGAGCUGUGAAAGACAAGGAAAAAGCAAUUUGACAUGACUGAAGAAUAUAUCUUGUUGGGGAUGCUGAGGGGACCAGGAGGAAGUGGUGGUGAGAAUUGAGGCUGGAGAGGCAAAUGAAGAGUACACACUACAGGCUUUGAAUGUAGAGCACAAAGACUGAAUUUUAUUCUGUAGGCAUUUAGGAGCCAGAGAGGC
rnacentral:lncRNA from 1 species